CCUACGGGUGGCUGCAGUGAGGAAUAUUGGUCAAUGGGCGCGAGCCUGAACCAGCCAAGUAGCGUGAAGGAUGACUGCCCUACGGGUUGUAAACUUCUUUUAUAAGGGAAUAAAGUGAGGCACGUGUGCCUUGUUGUAUGUACUUUAUGAAUAAGGAUCGGCUAACUCCGUGCCAGCAGCCGCGGUAAUACGGAGGAUCCGAGCGUUAUCCGGAUUUAUUGGGUUUAAAGGGAGCGUAGGUGGGUUGUUAAGUCAGUUGUGAAAUGUUGGGGCUCAACCUUAAAAUUGCAAUUGAUACUGGCAGACUAGAGUACAGUUGAGGUAGGCGGAAUUCGUGGUGUAGCGGUGAAAUGCUUAGAGAUCACGAAGAACUCCGAUUGCGAAGGCAGCUUACUAAACUGCCACUGACAUUGAUGCUCGAAAGUGUGGGUAGCAAACAGGAUUAGAUACCCGUGUAGUC
rnacentral:rRNA from 1 species